GGCUGGUCCGAAGGUAGUGAGUUAUCUCACUUGACUAUUCACAGUCAGUUACAGAAUGAAUUCCUUGUUCUACUACUUUCGCCCCUCCUCACUACUGCACUUGACUAGUCUUAA
ensembl:misc_RNA Y_RNA Y RNA